rnacentral:lncRNA from 1 species
GAGUGGGACUCGGCCCAGAAGCCGAGGGACGCUCUAGGCUGCCGGGCGCUGAUUGUCAGCGCGGAGGCUGGGCUGAGGCGCCGCGGUACCAUGAGGCGCCGGUACUUAAGAGAUUAUGGCAUCGGAAACUCACAAUGUUAAAAAACGGAACUUUUGUAAUAAGAUUGAGGAUCAUUUCAUUGAUCUUCCUAGAAAAAAAGAUCUCUAAUUUCACUGAUAAGAACAUGAAGGAGGUUAAGAAGUCUCCAAAACAGUUGGCUGCUUACAUAAAUAGAACAGUUGGACAAACUGUGAAAAGCCCAGAUAAACUUCGUAAAGUGAUCUAUCGCAGAAAGAAAGUUCAUCAUCCCUUUCCAAAUCUUUGUUACAGAAAAAAACAGCCCCCUGGAAGGUGGGGGCUGUGACAUGGCAAAUAAAGAAAAUGAACUGGCUUGUGCAGGCCACCAGACUGAAAAAUUACACCAUGACAGUCGAACAUAUUUGGUUAACUCCAGUGAUUCUGGUUCUUCACAGACAGAAAGCCCAUCAUCAAAAUAUAGUGGGUUUUUUUCUGAGGUUUCUCAGGACCAUGAAACAAUGGUCCAAGUUUUGUUCAGCAGGAAUAUGAGAUUGAAUGUAGCUUUAAGUUUCUGGAGAAGGAGAAGUAUAAGUGAACUUGUAGCUUAUUUGUUGAGGAUAGAAGAUCUUGGCGUUGUGGUAGAUUGCCUUCCUGUGCUCACCAAUUGUUUACAGGAAGAAAAACAAUAUAUCUCACUUGGCUGCUGUGUAGACUUGUUGCUUCUAGUAAAGUCACUACUUAAAAGCAAAUUUGAAGAAUAUGUUAUAGUUGGUUUAAACUGGCUUCAAGCAGUCAUUAAAAGGUGGUGGUCAGAACUAUCAUCCAAAACAAAUUUUAAAUGAUGGAAAUAUUCAAAUUUUAAAACAACAAUUAAGUGGAUUAUGGGAACAGGAAAACCAUCUUACUUUGGUUCCAGGAUAUACUGGUAAUAUAGCUAAGGAUGUAGAUGCUUAUUUAUUACAGUUACAUUGAGAGAUUUCAUCUACUAAAGAGGAUUUGGUUUUUCAAAACAUCCCUGAACUGUGUAAUUUACAAAAAAAGUCUCGUCUGAGAACUGUGAACUGUGGAAGAAAUCAAAACUAUUUUUUCUUUUAAAAAGCCACAUAAUGAAACCACUAAUGAAAUCCCAACAAUCUGCUUCACAUUGAAGUGGAAAAAUAUCCGAAAGGAGCAGCUUCAAUUUCAUUGAGGUGAAAGUGCACUAUGUAGAUUGUUCACCUUUGCUGCAUUUGGGAAUUAUAUGGUUAUUUGGUAACAUUAAGAACUACUGGAUUUUAAUGCAAUCCUGCAUAAAAAUAUAAUUUAUACUAUGUGAAAAAAUAAGACAGGACUUACCACUAGGAACCACCAAGACCAAUCAUCAUUAACUUUAAGAUUGUGUUUUAUUUAAAAAACACUUAAAAAAAAAGACUUUUCCCACUGACAGUUUAGGAUUUGUAUGUCUCAAGCUGAUUAAUAUGAUCUUCAUCCAGUUAUUUUCCAACUUGAACAAAUAAUUUUGUUGUUGUUUUCUCUCCUAUUCUUCCCAUCUUUGAGGAUAGAUUCCCAAUACUGCAUUUUAGGGGGAUUUUAGGGAGGGAGUGAGAUGAGAUGUGUAGAAUCAAAUUUGUGAUGUUUUCCUAGAAGUUGUGAAUAAUAGAAACCUAUGUUUUCAAGACUUAUUUCUAUACAAAAUAUUAUUUAAUUAUAUAAUUUCUUUUUAAUGUUACGAAAGAAUUUGCCAACUAUAAUCUAUGUAUGUGCUUUUAGACUCACCUGCAUUUCCUUAUACAUAUCCAGGACUUCAUCCUUUAACUUCAACCGCUCUUCUUGGUCAAUGUUUCGAAUGCUAAGGACUCUGGUCCUAUGCUGUCGAAACUGAUGAAUUUCUUCCGCCUUUUGCAUUGCCUGCUGCUGAUUCAAUUCAUCUGUUUGCAGCAGAGGAUCUGUAUCUGUUUUCCUUGAUACAAAAGUCAUCAAAAGAUACAGAUUUCAUUUGGGAACUCUGGAAUAAGCUUCACUUUAGACAUCAAAUAAUUUUAAAUCAUAUCAACAGUGUGGUGGUCUGAGUCAAAUAAAACAUUAGGGAUAGAAAAAAUAAAUGGUUGUUUUCUAGAUA